UUAAGCGACUAAGCGUACACGGUGGAUGCCCUGGCAGUCAGAGGCGAUGAAGGACGUGCUAAUCUGCGAUAAGCGUCGGUAAGGUGAUAUGAACCGUUAUAACCGGCGAUUUCCGAAUGGGGAAACCCAGUGUGUUUCGACACACUAUCAUUAACUGAAUCCAUAGGUUAAUGAGGCGAACCGGGGGAACUGAAACAUCUAAGUACCCCGAGGAAAAGAAAUCAACCGAGAUUCCCCCAGUAGCGGCGAGCGAACGGGGAGCAGCCCAGAGCCUGAAUCAGUGUGUGUGUUAGUGGAAGCGUCUGGAAAGGCGCGCGAUACAGGGUGACAGCCCCGUACACAAAAAUGCACAUGCUGUGAGCUCGAUGAGUAGGGCGGGACACGUGGUAUCCUGUCUGAAUAUGGGGGGACCAUCCUCCAAGGCUAAAUACUCCUGACUGACCGAUAGUGAACCAGUACCGUGAGGGAAAGGCGAAAAGAACCCCGGCGAGGGGAGUGAAAAAGAACCUGAAACCGUGUACGUACAAGCAGUGGGAGCACGCUUAGGCGUGUGACUGCGUACCUUUUGUAUAAUGGGUCAGCGACUUAUAUUCUGUAGCAAGGUUAACCGAAUAGGGGAGCCGAAGGGAAACCGAGUCUUAACUGGGCGUUAAGUUGCAGGGUAUAGACCCGAAACCCGGUGAUCUAGCCAUGGGCAGGUUGAAGGUUGGGUAACACUAACUGGAGGACCGAACCGACUAAUGUUGAAAAAUUAGCGGAUGACUUGUGGCUGGGGGUGAAAGGCCAAUCAAACCGGGAGAUAGCUGGUUCUCCCCGAAAGCUAUUUAGGUAGCGCCUCGUGAAUUCAUCUCCGGGGGUAGAGCACUGUUUCGGCAAGGGGGUCAUCCCGACUUACCAACCCGAUGCAAACUGCGAAUACCGGAGAAUGUUAUCACGGGAGACACACGGCGGGUGCUAACGUCCGUCGUGAAGAGGGAAACAACCCAGACCGCCAGCUAAGGUCCCAAAGUCAUGGUUAAGUGGGAAACGAUGUGGGAAGGCCCAGACAGCCAGGAUGUUGGCUUAGAAGCAGCCAUCAUUUAAAGAAAGCGUAAUAGCUCACUGGUCGAGUCGGCCUGCGCGGAAGAUGUAACGGGGCUAAACCAUGCACCGAAGCUGCGGCAGCGACGCUUAUGCGUUGUUGGGUAGGGGAGCGUUCUGUAAGCCUGUGAAGGUGUGCUGUGAGGCAUGCUGGAGGUAUCAGAAGUGCGAAUGCUGACAUAAGUAACGAUAAAGCGGGUGAAAAGCCCGCUCGCCGGAAGACCAAGGGUUCCUGUCCAACGUUAAUCGGGGCAGGGUGAGUCGACCCCUAAGGCGAGGCCGAAAGGCGUAGUCGAUGGGAAACAGGUUAAUAUUCCUGUACUUGGUGUUACUGCGAAGGGGGGACGGAGAAGGCUAUGUUGGCCGGGCGACGGUUGUCCCGGUUUAAGCGUGUAGGCUGGUUUUCCAGGCAAAUCCGGAAAAUCAAGGCUGAGGCGUGAUGACGAGGCACUACGGUGCUGAAGCAACAAAUGCCCUGCUUCCAGGAAAAGCCUCUAAGCAUCAGGUAACAUCAAAUCGUACCCCAAACCGACACAGGUGGUCAGGUAGAGAAUACCAAGGCGCUUGAGAGAACUCGGGUGAAGGAACUAGGCAAAAUGGUGCCGUAACUUCGGGAGAAGGCACGCUGAUAUGUAGGUGAAGUCCCUCGCGGAUGGAGCUGAAAUCAGUCGAAGAUACCAGCUGGCUGCAACUGUUUAUUAAAAACACAGCACUGUGCAAACACGAAAGUGGACGUAUACGGUGUGACGCCUGCCCGGUGCCGGAAGGUUAAUUGAUGGGGUUAGCGCAAGCGAAGCUCUUGAUCGAAGCCCCGGUAAACGGCGGCCGUAACUAUAACGGUCCUAAGGUAGCGAAAUUCCUUGUCGGGUAAGUUCCGACCUGCACGAAUGGCGUAAUGAUGGCCAGGCUGUCUCCACCCGAGACUCAGUGAAAUUGAACUCGCUGUGAAGAUGCAGUGUACCCGCGGCAAGACGGAAAGACCCCGUGAACCUUUACUAUAGCUUGACACUGAACAUUGAGCCUUGAUGUGUAGGAUAGGUGGGAGGCUUUGAAGUGUGGACGCCAGUCUGCAUGGAGCCGACCUUGAAAUACCACCCUUUAAUGUUUGAUGUUCUAACGUUGACCCGUGAUCCGGGUUGCGGACAGUGUCUGGUGGGUAGUUUGACUGGGGCGGUCUCCUCCUAAAGAGUAACGGAGGAGCACGAAGGUUGGCUAAUCCUGGUCGGACAUCAGGAGGUUAGUGCAAUGGCAUAAGCCAGCUUGACUGCGAGCGUGACGGCGCGAGCAGGUGCGAAAGCAGGUCAUAGUGAUCCGGUGGUUCUGAAUGGAAGGGCCAUCGCUCAACGGAUAAAAGGUACUCCGGGGAUAACAGGCUGAUACCGCCCAAGAGUUCAUAUCGACGGCGGUGUUUGGCACCUCGAUGUCGGCUCAUCACAUCCUGGGGCUGAAGUAGGUCCCAAGGGUAUGGCUGUUCGCCAUUUAAAGUGGUACGCGAGCUGGGUUUAGAACGUCGUGAGACAGUUCGGUCCCUAUCUGCCGUGGGCGCUGGAGAACUGAGGGGGGCUGCUCCUAGUACGAGAGGACCGGAGUGGACGCAUCACUGGUGUUCGGGUUGUCAUGCCAAUGGCACUGCCCGGUAGCUAAAUGCGGAAGAGAUAAGUGCUGAAAGCAUCUAAGCACGAAACUUGCCCCGAGAUGAGUUCUCCCUGACUCCUUGAGAGUCCUGAAGGAACGUUGAAGACGACGACGUUGAUAGGCCGGGUGUGUAAGCGCAGCGAUGCGUUGAGCUAACCGGUACUAAUGAACCGUGAGGCUUAACCUU
rnacentral:rRNA from 1 species